GCCUCCGUAGCUCAGGGGAUAGAGCACCGCUCUCCUAAAGCGGGUGCCGCAGGUUCGAAUCCUGCCGGGGGCA
rfam:Microbispora rosea strain ATCC 12950 genome assembly, contig: Ga0104720_141